UGCCAGCAGCCGCGGUAGCGAUGAUGUUGAUGGUGAUAGUGAGAAUGUUAAUAGUCAGAAGGAUGAUAGUAAUAUGAGUGAUAAUGGCAGUAAAAUAGAUUUCGACCAUACUAAAAAAGAUGAUAGUGGAGCGGAUAAUGGAGCGGAUAGUG
rnacentral:rRNA from 1 species